rnacentral:rRNA from 1 species
GUGGGGAAUCUUGCGCAAUGGGCGAAAGCCUGACGCAGCCAUGCCGCGUGAAUGAUGAAGGUCUUAGGAUUGUAAAAUUCUUUCACCGGGGACGAUAAUGACGGUACCCGGAGAAGAAGCCCCGGCUAACUCCGUGCCAGCAGCCGCGGUAAUACGGAGGGGGCGAGCGUUGUUCGGAAUCACUGGGCGUAAAGCGUGCGUAGGCGGUUAUACAAGUCAGGAGUGAAAUCCCAGGGCUCAACCUUGGAAUUGCUUUUGAGACUGUAUGACUAGAGAUCUAGAGAGGUUGGGGGAAGUCCGAGUGUAGAGGUGAAAUUCGCAGAUAUUCGGAGGAACACCAGUGGCGUAGGCGCCCAACUGGCUAGAUACUGACGCUGAGGCACGAAAGCGUGGGGAGCAAACAGGAUUAGAUACCCGGGUAGUCC